GGGCUCCUAUAGAUACAGACACGCACGGAUAGAUCUCCAGCAGCAAGGACCGGCGGCGGAGCUGGAGAGCCGGAUCCCGCUGAAAGGAUGAAAACAUGGGGCUCAAGUUAUCCUGCCUGAAAGGCUUGAAGACGUGUGUGAGCAGCGGGAACGGCAGCGACCGGCCCCCGACGGCGUCCUCGGGGGAGAAGCACCUGCACGUGCCCUCCAUCAUCGUCACACCACCCACACCCACGGGGACCAUCCUGUCCCGAGAGGGGCGGAGGGCGG